UUGACCUCGGAUCAGGUAGGAAUANCC
rnacentral:rRNA from 1 species